CCAGCGGUAAAAGGCCACAAAAAUGGGUGGGCUAUAGCCUUGGGGGGUGGGGCUGGCCAACUUCGUCCGCCGGACUCGGAAUGCCGCGAGACUUUGUGAGGAGCCUCCAUGUGCCAAAAAAAGGCCGCGGGCAAAGCCGCUCCCAAAAAUAACCCCCCGAAGGCCAGGGCGCCAAGUUCGUCCGCCGGACUCGGAAUGCCACGAGACUUUACGAGGGGCCUCCGUGUGCCAAAAAUAGGCCGUGGGUAAAGCAACGUCCAAAAAUAACCGCCCGAAGGCCGGGGCGCCAAGUUCGUCCAGCGGAAAAAGGCCACAAAAACGGGUGGGCUAUAGCCUUGGGGGGUGGGGCUGGCCAACUUCGUCCGCCUGACUCGGAAUGCCGCGAGACUUUCCGAGGGGCCUCCGUGUGCCAAAAAUGGUCUAUGGGCAAAGCUUUACCCAAAAAUAACCACCCGAAGGCCGGGGCUCCAAGCUCGUCCAGCGGAAAAAGGCCACAAAAACGGGUGGGCCAUAGCCUUGGGGGGUGGGGCUGGCCAACUUCGUCCGCCGGACUCGGAACGCUGCGAGACUUUACGAGGGGCCUCCGUGUGCCAAAACUAGGCCGCGGGCAAAGCCGCACCCAAAAAUAACCGCCCGAAGGCCGGGGCGGCAAGUUCGUCCACUGGAAAAAGGCCACAAAACGGGUGGGCAAUAGCCUUGGGGGGUGGGGCUGGCCAACUUUGUCCGCUGGACUCGGAAUACCGCGAGACUUUGUGAGGGGCCUCUGUGUGCCAAAAAUAGGCCGCGGGCAAACCCACGCCCAAAAAUAACCGCCCGAAGACCGGGGCGCCAAGUUCGUCCGCCGGACUCGGAAUGCCGCGAGACUUUGCGAGGGGCCUCCGUGUGCCAAAAAUAGACCGCGGGCAAAGCCGCGGCCAAAAAUAACCGCCCGAAGGCUGGGGCACCAAGUUCAUCCUGCGGAAAAAGGGCACAAAAAUGGGUGGGCUAUAGCCUUGGGGGGUAAGGCUGGCCAGCUUCGUCCGCCGGACUCGGAAUGCUGCGAGACUUUACGAGGGGCCUCCGUGUGCCAAAAAUAGACCGCGGGCAAAGCCGCGCCCAAAAAUAACCACCCAAAGGCUGGGGCACCAAGUUCGUC
rnacentral:lncRNA from 1 species